CACGUAGGAGGCAAACGUUAUCCGGAUUUACUGGGCGUAAAGCGCGUGUAGGUGGUUCUGUAAGUAGGGCGUGAAAGCUCCCGGCUCAACUGGGAGAGGCCGUUCUAAACUGCAGAGCUAGAGGGAUGGUAGAGGGAGGUGGAAUUCCAGGUGUAGCGGUGGAAUGCGCAGAUAUCUGGAGGAACACCAGUGGAGAAGGCGGCCUCCUGGACCAUUCCUGACACUCAGACGCGAAAGCUAGGGUAGCAAACGGGAUUAGAUACCCGCGUAGUCCCU
rnacentral:rRNA from 1 species